rnacentral:rRNA from 1 species
GAUGAACGCUGGCGGCGUGCCUAAUACAUGCAAGUCGAGCGAAUGGAUUAAGAGCUUGCUCUUAUGAAGUUAGCGGCGGACGGGUGAGUAACACGUGGGUAACCUGCCCAUAAGACUGGGAUAACUCCGGGAAACCGGGGCUAAUACCGGAUAACAUUUUGAACCGCAUGGUUCGAAAUUGAAAGGCGGCUUCGGCUGUCACUUAUGGAUGGACCCGCGUCGCAUUAGCUAGUUGGUGAGGUAACGGCUCACCAAGGCAACGAUGCGUAGCCGACGUGGACGGGAGAUCGGACACACAGGCACUGGAACACGGCCCAGACUCCGACGGGAGGUAGCAGUAGGGAAUCUUCCGCAAUGGACGAAAGUCUGACGGAGCAACGCCGCGUGAGUGAUGGAGGCUUUCGGGUCGUAAAACUCUGUUGUUAGGGAAGAACAAGUGCUAGUUGAAUAAGCUGGCACCUUGACGGUACCUAACCAGAAAGCCACGGCUAACUACGUGCCAGCCGCCGCCGUAA